ensembl:lncRNA
CAGCCCUCACUGCAGAGCCUGGAUAUUUUGUGAUGUCUGACUAAUGCUGUUAGGAGAGGAUGUAGGAAAGAAGAGAGAUCUCCAAUUGACAGGAAGCAAAGAAUAAAUGAUUGUAAAGGGGCUGGCAGUGCUUGUAGUUUAAAGACAGACACAAUUUAGAUAGCACUGAGAUCUCAUUGCAGGAUGAAGCUUAAUGAGGUCUGUGUGGUCACAGAGGGAUAAAACACUAUGAGAUCAGAUGUGGCCCUGUGUUGUGUGUGAGAGCAAGACCUUUGAGCUGAAUUCACAUUACCUGAGCCAUCACCAGGACUGGAACAUUCAUUGGCGUUUUCAGAAGAUUAUAUACAAAACCACUACAGAGAUAAAAGAAGACUUGAAAGGGGAGGAUUUCUGAAAGUACCCUUAAAGAAGUGGAAAAGAUGGGAAAUCACUGAAUUUUCAAGAAUGAAGACAGGAUAUGCAAACACAAACAAGGUCAAAAUUAGAAGGAAGAGGUGGUAUUUAAAAAUACAGCUACAAAGUGCCUUAAUUAUAUCAAGACAGAAAUGAAUAGUCCAUGAUUUAGCAACUGCAGUACAACUAGGAGAAAUGAUGCAUUGAAGGUAGAUGGGACUUGAGCUAGUAGGUGACGACAGAAAAUUUGCACUGGAGGACCAAGAUACCAUACUUUUCCAGCCUAGAAAUGGACCAUUACAGAAGGGAAUGCAGAUGAACAUGGCUGAACUCAGUGCUGCAGUUUACAGAAGUAUCUGCUCACAGCACAGAAUGACACAUGGCUUGUCCUACAUCACAGACAACACUAAGCAGUGUAUGGGAACAGUAGACAAGGAAAAGAAUUGUAGAAUCAUUGAAUCGCCAAAGCUGAAAAAGAUCUCCAAGACCAUCCAGUCCAACUUUCCACCUACCACCAGUAUUUCCCACUAAACCAUGUCCAUCAAUACAACAUCCAAAUGUUUCUUGAACACUUCCAGGGACAGUGACCUAACCACCUCCUUGGGCAGCCCAUUUCAGUGCCUAACCACUCCUUUGGAGAAUAAAUUUUUCCUAUUAUCCAACCUGAACCUCCCUUGGCACAAAAGAACAAAUAACAAGUGGUUUGGUUUUUCUGUCACAGGUUGUUGGUGUGGUUAAUAUUCUCUGCUUCAGUACUCUGCAUUUACAACUCUUUUGCAAUGAGGUCACACUGACAAGCCACAAACACUGCUUGUUCCUUUUAAGAAAUAGUGAUUGCUAGACGCAAAUGAAUUCAGGGAUGGCUGAGAGGUGAUCUUGCAAGACUUCAAAAUAUCAAAGUGUGUCAUUCUGAUAUGCCUGAUAAAAGUGUUAUUUAAAUAUCCAUGGAAACCAACCUUCACAUUCAACUCAGGGGCUUUGGUCAUAAAUAAAAUACUGGACUGUGAAGGGAUUUCAAAGAUAUACCUUGUCUUUUUGAUCUCUGCAGUUAAUUCUUUCUCUCAACUUGGUCCUUAGAAAGGCGAUUGAAAGUGCAGCUAAGCUAAACGUUCCGUGGGAGUGCUCUGAUCUGUUUACUGCUUUGAUGUUCUCUGUAGGCUACUGCUUCCUGUGAACCAGGAUUCCAUGGCAAAAUAUAUGUGAUUCUCCAUCUCUUUUUUUAAAAGAUUUAAUAUGCAUUUCUCUCUGCUUGUAUCUAUAUUUGCACAUGACGGGUGAGAAGCAGACACAUGGUCCUUUAUUUCCAGAGAGGUGUUCAAAAAAAGACACCAAAAUCUGUCAGAUAUCUUCAAAGCAAGUUUGGAAUUCUGUGUUACCUUUAUCAGGAUCCUCCCCAAUUUUUUAGUUGUAUAAACAGUAUUUAAGCCUUGAUGACCAUUUAACUAAAUUAAGCAAACAAACAAACAAACAAACACAGAAUUGUUGGUAUUACAUUUGAAUUGAAGGACACAAACAAUGCAUAUUCUUUCUUAGCUGAUUUUGAACCAGAAUAUUUGAACCAGAUUUUGAACCAGAUUAUUUUCCUGCCAGUGGAUAAAAGUUACAGUAUUACUUAGAACAGCCUUUUUAACAUCAUCAUUAUAAAAAUGUUACCUUUAUAACUUGUUUAUCAAUUGACUAUUUUGUAAAACUGCAGUUGGCUUAUCUGAUUGGUAAUGCUAAAAUAUCCUUCCAAUGUUUUAAAUUUUCAACAAAAAUAUCUCGGGAUGGUACGAUUCUAUGUAGUUAUGCAGUGUUUUGAGAAAAUCUUUCUUAUUUGGAUGUUACUGCUUAGCUUCAUAAUUAUACGAAACCUCAUAUCAGUGUUUUCAAAGUAUUUGUCCCCCCCCCUUUUUUUUUUUUUUAAUCUUAAUCAUAACUUUCAGGUUUCUUAGAGGACUGGUUUCAUAAUACAUUCCUAAAUUUUUUGCUCUUUCUUCAAUAUUUUGCUGAUUUGUUUUCAUGUUUUAUAUACCAUCUAUGAUAUACAGGAUAUUAGCUAAUUUCUUGACAAUGUAAAAGGGGUGGUAUCCCUUUCAUUAGCUGUUCUUUUUAUAGAAGACAUGCAGAAGAAAAAAAAAAUUACCACUGAACUGGAAUAACUGAGGUGAAAUUGCUAAUCAGAAACGCUGUUACUUGUAUGUGAGAGUUUCAAAGCACUUUUAAGUGCAAGUUCAUUGAGCCUACUCACACUUUUUGAGGUAAAGAGGUAAUUAAUAUUAUCCCCUUCAUCGCAGGUCUCAGCUUUGAACAGUCCAAGGUCUCUUCU